rnacentral:lncRNA from 1 species
UCCGACUCUGCAGUGUUCACCUGGGACUGGGCAGCUCCUCACGCAGACUCCAAAUAUGAAGACCGCCGUCGUUCUCGCCUGCCUGCUGGUGGCCGUCGCUGCCAAGCCGCAACUUGGAUUUGGAUUUGGCGGUGCCAAUGGUGGAGCUAACUCAUUCGGCACUCAGGGACAGACUUCCGGAUUCCUGGGCCAAUCCGGUAUUCAGAGUGGCGGUGCUAGCGCUGGGGGUCAGGCGUUUGGUCUGGGAUCUUCAAUCAGCGGUGCCAACAGCCAACUGGGACAGAGCUCCGGGUUCCUCGGAAGCAACCAGUUCAGCAACCAGAACGCCUUCAGUAACCAGUUUGGACGUUAAUCUUGAAGAAAAUAUGAACUUAUUUGAAGUGUGGCGGGAACGGACCAUUGCGGACGAUGGCGCAUUUGUUAUGACAUGAAAUAGAAUUCCAUUUUGACAUAGCUCAGCAAAUUUUUACGGUGAAGUGGCAUAUCGCUCUCAUCGGUUGGUAAGGUUUUCGGCGAAAAUUGAGUCCCGAACAUCAUAUAGGCAUGUGUUUUGAACGUAUCACCGGAGGACCGUCGUUUUAGUGUAUGAACUCGAAAUAAUAUAAUGAAAUGAAAAU